rnacentral:rRNA from 1 species
GAUAAACGCUGGCGGCGUGCAUGAGACAUACAAGUCGAACGAACGAGCUUGCUCGUUAGUGGCGGACGGCUGAGUAACGCGUAGGUGACCUGCCCCGAAGUGGGGGAUAACUGCCCGAAAGGGUGGCUAAUACCGCAUGUGGCGACACUUUCAUUGGUGUCAUCAAAGCCGCGAGGCGCUUCGGGAGGGGCCUGCGUCCGAUUAGCUCGUUGGUGGGGUAAUGGCUCACCAAGGCGACGAUCGGUAGGUGGUCUGAGAGGACGAUCACCCAGACUGGGACUGAGACACGGCCCAGACUCCUGCGGGAGGCAGCAGUCGGGAAUUUUGCUCAAUGGGCGCAAGCCUGAAGCAGCAACGCCGCGUGCGGGAUGAAGGCCUUCGGGUUGUAAACCGCUUUUGUCAGGGACGAUGAUGACGGUACCUGACGAAUAAGUCACGGCUAACUACGUGCCAGCCGCCACAGUAAGAC